rnacentral:rRNA from 1 species
CCUACGGGCGGCUGCAGUAGGGAAUAUUGGUCAAUGGGUGAGAGCCUGAACCAGCCAUGCCGCGUGCAGGAAGACGGCCUUCUUGGUUGUAAACUGCUUUUAUCUGGGGAUAAAAAGGCCUUGCGAGGCACAUUGAAGGUACCAGAUGAAUAAGCACCGGCUAACUACGUGCCAGCAGCCGCGGUAAUCCGUAGGGUUCAAGCGUUGAUCGGAUUUAUUGGGUGUAAAGGCUGUCUAGUAAGUCAAUUGUGAAAUCCAACAGCUCAACUGUUGAUGUGCCAAUGAUACUGAUGGACUUGAGUACAGACGAGGUAGGCGGAAUUGACAGUGUAGCGGUGAAAUGCAUAGAUAUUGUCAAGAACACCGAUAGCGAAGGCAGCUUGCUAGCCUGUAACUGACGCUGAGGCACGAAAGUAUGGGGAUCAAACAGGAUUAGAUACCCGGGUAGUC